CGAAGCUGAUGCAUCGACGCCGCGUGGAGGAUGAAGGCUUCGGAUUGUAAACUCCUGUUAAGUGGGAAGAAAGACCGCUUUCUAAUAAAAAGCGGGAUGACGGUACCACUAGAGAAAGUACCGGCAAACUUCGUGCCAGCAGCCGCGGUAAUACGAAGGGUACAAGCGUUAUUCGGAAUAACUGGGCGUAAAGAGUUUGAAGGCGGCUUAUUAAGUCAGCUGUUAAAUUCCUCGGCUUAACUGGGGAUCUGCAGUUAAAACUGGUGAGCUAGAGUGUGGGAGAGAAGGGUAGAAUUCUUGGAGUAGCGGUAAAAUGCGUAGAUCUCAAGAGGAAUACCGGUUGCGAAGGCGGCCCUUUGGCCCAUAACUGACGCUCAAGAACGAAAGCGUGGGGAGCAAACAGGAUUAGAUACCCUGGUAGUCCACGCUGUAAACGAUGAUCACUAGAUGUGGGUCUUGCUUAGCAAGAUCUGUGUCGUAGCUAACGCGAUAAGUGAUCCGCCUGAGGAGUACGGUCGCAAGAUUAAAACUCAAAGAAAUUGACGGGGGUCCGCACAAGCGGUGGAACAUGUGGUUCAAUUCGACACUACGCGAGGAACCUUACCUGGGUUUGACCUGUAACUGCUAUUGGUAGAAACACUGAGUUCUGUAG
rnacentral:rRNA from 1 species